rnacentral:rRNA from 1 species
UACGAAGGGGGCUAGCGUUGUUCGGAUUUACUGGGCGUAAAGCGCACGUAGGCGGAUCGUUAAGUCGGGGGUGAAAUCCUGGAGCUCAACUCCAGAACUGCCUUCGAUACUGGCGAUCUCGAGUCCGGAAGAGGUGAGUGGAACUCCUAGUGUAGAGGUGGAAUUCGUAGAUAUUAGGAAGAACACCCGUGGCGAAGGCGGCUCUCUGGGACGGUACUGACGCUGAGACGCGAAAGCGUGGGGAGCGAACAGG